UAAGGAAUAUUGGACAAUGGGCGGAAGCCUGAUCCAGCCAUGCCGCGUGAAGGAAGAAGGCGCUCAGCGUUGUAAACUUCUUUUAAAUGGGAACAAUAACUCCGACGUGCUCGGGGCUUGAGGGUACCAUUAGAAUAAGCACCGGCUAACUCCGUGCCAGCAGCCGCGGUAAUACGGAGGGUGCAAGCGUUAUCCGGAAUCACUGGGUUUAAAGGGUGCGUAGGCGGUUUGAUAAGUCAGUUGUGAAAUACCCCGGCUUAACCGGCGGUCGUGCGAUUGAUACUGUUGGACUUGAAUCAGGUUGAGGUAGGCGGAAUGUGGCAUGUAGCGGUGAAAUGCAUAGAUAUGCCAUAGAACACCGAUUGCGAAGGCAGCUUGCUGGACCUAGAUUGACGCUGAGGCACGAAAGCGUGGGGAGCAAACAGG
rnacentral:rRNA from 1 species